GACAUGAAGCUUGGCUGGCAAACCUGCUGAAUUUAAGCAUAUGAGUAAGCGGAGGAUAAGAAGCUAAAAGGGAUUCCCUUAGUAAUGGCGAAUGAACAGGGGCAUGCUCAGCAUGAAAAUUAGGGCCUGUGGGCCUGAGUUGUAGUCUCGGGAGGUACUACCAACAGAGGCGCUGCUGUACGUCUCUUGGAAUCGAGUAUCAAUGAGGGUGAGGGUCCCGCUUGUCAGUGGCAGCCCAUUGUGCACGGUGUGCAUUCUAAGAGUCAYGUUCCUUGGGAUUGGAGCGCAAUGCGGGUGGUAAGCUUCAUCUAAAGCUACAUAUGGGCUCAAGACCGAUAGCAAACAAGUACCAUGAGGGAAAGUUGAAAAGGACUUUGAAAAGAAAGGUAAAAGUGCUUGAAAUCACUGAAAAGGAAGUGAGCGAAGCCAAUGUGUCUUUGGUGAGAUUGCUGCACACGAGUGCCACUGCUUGCUGCGCCAACACAUGUGUUUCAGUAAGUCUUGAGCAGGCUGUGCGCAGUGCUUCUUGCCUUGCCUGUCAAUGUCGCUUCAUGUGUGAGGAAGAUUUCAAGGGCAUGGUAGCUCCCCUCACAGUGCGAAUWUUCUUGUGUGUACUCAUGCGRGGGGUBCUCVSARRGSAAAUBBCURMMCUYRACCCBUYU
rnacentral:rRNA from 1 species